rnacentral:misc_RNA from 1 species
UUUGAAAACACCGCUCACAAUAAAAAGUCGCUGAAAAUCGCUCGGGACAGACAGUUGAAAAAAAAAUUGAAAAUAAAUUGAGUGUGGCCCUCAGAUCCAUAAAAUAUUUCAGUUGUCUUUUGGAUGCACGCACAUAAAUUACUCUCUCAAAAAAAUAAAACAUAAAUAAAUAACUUACACAAGUGAAUGCGAACCACCACCCCCAACCAAAGAGCCACAACGAUGAGCGAUAACACCCCAUCUGUGCCCUUGGCUGACUUCAUAGAACCGCCCAAUCCAACCGAAGACGAACCAUUCGUACCCCUGGCCGAGCCCAGAAAAAUGAACGAUACGCCCGUGGCAGCAGCUGCCACGCCCACGCCCACCACCGCCACCACCGCACCCAUCAGCAAUGGUACGCCCACGGAGGCGGCUGCAGCGUCGGCGGCUGCAACGACAACUGUGGCCACCAGCGGCAGCAGCGAGAACAGCAUCUUCUCCAUACUCUAUACCAUUGGAAAAAAGGUGGCCAUUGUGGGCUCCAUCUAUCUGGUGGGAUACAUGGGCUGGUCGGUGGCAUGGCUGAUAGCGCCGGUCAUCCUGUCCGUGGCACGCGACCAGCUGGGCAAGACCUCGGCGAAGAAGCGGGACAUAGCCAAGGCCUCUGCGCUGGCCUGCGAGAAGGAUGUGAUCCUGGCGCGAAUUGAUGAGCUGCCCGCCUGGGUGUAUUUUCCCGAUGUAGAACGCUGCGAAUGGCUGAAUAAGAUUCUGAAACAGGUCUGGCCGAAUGCCAAUCAUUUUACUCGCACGCUGGUCAAGGAGACCAUCGAACCGAAUGUGGCUCUGGCCCUGUCGAACUACAAGAUGAACGGCUUUCGCUUCGAUCGCAUUAUCCUGGGCACCAUACCACCCCGCAUCGGGGGCGUGAAGAUCUACGACAAGAAUGUGGACCGAAAUGAGAUCAUCAUGGACCUGGAUCUCUUCUAUGCCAGCGACUGCGACAUCAAUUUCUAUUUGGGUGGCAUGAAGGGCGGCAUCAAGGACUUCCAGAUCCAUGGUUGGGUGCGUGUCGUAAUGAAGCCCCUGAUCCGUUCGAUGCCCCUGGUGGGUGGUCUGCAGAUCUUCUUUCUGAACAAUCCGAAUAUCGAUUUCAAUCUGGUUGGUGUCAUCGAUUUCAUGGACAUGCCGGGCCUCAGUGAUCUGCUGAGAAGGAUCAUUGUGGAGCAGAUCGGCGCUGUGAUGGUGUUGCCCAACAAGCUGCCCAUUUCCCUGAGCGAAGAGGUGUCCGCGGUGGCCCUCAAGAUGCCCGAACCAGAGGGCAUUCUGCGCAUUCAUGUGGUGGAGGCCAAGGAUCUGAUGAAGAAGGACAUCAGUGUCCUGGGCAAAGGCAAAUCCGAUCCCUAUGCUAUCAUCAAUGUGGGCGCCCAGGAGUUCAAGACCCAGAUCAUCGACAACAAUGUGAAUCCCAAGUGGGACUACUGGUGUGAGGCGUGUAUUUUUACCACCAUAGGCCACUUAAUUGGGUUUUCUUUGUGGGACUAUGAUCAGACAAUGCCAGGUGUACUAAACGAUGAUGUAUUGGGCAGAGCCAGCAUCGAUAUAGCCAGCGUGAUCAAAAAAGGCGUUGUGGAUAGCUGGCUGACACUAGAGGAUGCCAAGCAUGGUCUGCUGCAUGUCCGCCUGCAGUGGUACAAGCUAACCGCUGAUCCCAAUGAUUUGCAGCAGAUCCUUCUGGAAACCCAGCUCCUGCGGGUUACCUCCAUGAGCUCGGCAGUACUCAGCGUUUUCAUCGAUUCGGCCAGGCAUCUGAAGCAAGCUCGGUCCAGCUCCAAGCCCGAUCCCUAUCUGGUGUGCAGCCUCAACAAGCAGAAACAGCAGACGGCCAUGAUCAUGAGGGACGACUCCCCCGUGUGGGAGCAGGGCUUCACUUUCCUGGUCAGCAAUCCCGACAACGAGAGUCUGAACAUCAAGAUCUACGACCAGAAGACAGGCAACGAUAUCGGUCAAUAUACUUACACGCUGAGUACCCUGCUCAAGCAGUUCAACAUGGAGGUGAUCCAGCAGCCCUUCCAACUCCAAAAAUCUGGCCCAGAAUCCAAGCUCUAUAUGUCGCUGUCAUUGCGGAUAUUGAAACCGGGCGAAAUCGACAAGGAAUCCGAUGCUUUGGAGCAGGUGGCGGCCCUCACACGCAGCAGCUCUGUCAAGACACCCGAUGUGGCUGUGGUGGCACCUCCAACCUUCAAGGAUCCCCAAGCACCUAACAAACGCCAGUCCACAGAGUCACCCAUCAGUGAGGAGGAGCUGGCAGUGCCCAUGAAAAUCUCACCGGCUAUGUCUGCCUCCACGUCCAGCGAGAAGCCGAUUAGCGAGCUGGCCGCCUCGGUGUUGACCCAUCGCUUCCCCGAGACGAGCUCAACGGCUGGCGAGCACGGCCUUGGACGCAUUCAGAUGUCCAUACGGUACAGUGCCCAGAGGCAGAAGCUCGACGUGACCCUGCACAAGAUCGUGAAGAUACCGCUGCGGGACCCCAGCAACAUACCCGAUCCGUAUGUGAAGCUGUAUCUGCUGCCGGGACGCACCAAGGAGUCGAAACGGAAGACGGGCGUGAUCAAGGACAAUUGUAAUCCGGUUUACGAUGCCUCAUUCGAGUACCUGAUUUCAAUAGCAGAGCUCAGGCAGACGGAGCUCGAGGUGACGGUCUGCACACAGAAGGGUUUUCUGUCCGGCAGCAGUCCCAUCAUUGGCAUGCUUAAAAUACCUCUGGACGACAGUGAGAUUACCACGCCAGCGGGUCUGAACACAUGGUUCGACCUGCAGCCCGAGAUGCGGCACGAGUGAUGUGAAGCAUCAAGCCGCGGGGCAGUCUAAUCCACACAACAGCACAAUCAAUCCACUCAACUCAACUCAAACAAGAACUAAUCACUUUUUUACCAAUUGCACGCCUUUUGUAUUUGUUGUGUAUAAUUUAUUUGUACUAUAACCUUUGGUCGGGUCGAAACCAAACUAAAAUCUCUUAGUCGUGCCUCUAUAUUUAUAACUAUCCAUUUAUUGUAGUCAAAUAAAUCGAACUGUGUUUUCAACAAAGCAUCAUUUCAUUUCCAUACCUUUACAAGGGCCAAAAGUGCACUUCCUUUCCUUUCCAGCAGGUUCAAUACCCACUAAGGAUGCUUCCAUUUCCAAACUAUUAAUAUUUUUAUUUUCAUUUUUUUAAUAAUAUUAAUUAUGCGUAUAGCCCGUAAACUAGUUUUCUUUUAUAAAUUGCAAAAAUUAGGAAAAGGCUAAAAGGAACGCAGAUGGUUACCGUGUUUUGUGGAACCCCUUAUAAUUCCCAAGUCCCUUUUCCUCACCUUUACAGUAUAUAUAGAGUUUUUCCUGGUCUACAUUCGUUCUUGCUUCGGCAGAACAUAUACUAAAAUUGGAACGAUACAGAGAAGAUUAGCAUGGCCCCUGCGCAAGGAUGACACGCAAAAUCGUGAAGCGUUCCACAUUUUUUGCCCAUAUAAACCCGAAAUAAAUAAAACAGAAUUUCCUUAGGGUUUUGCUGCUUUGUAGGCAUUUUUUU